rnacentral:lncRNA from 1 species
AUGUGUUCUCAUCAAAGCCUUUUUUAUUUUACUUUAGAGGAAUUAGAACCUGACCUGGAAGAAGGUAAAGCUGAAAUUGGUGGUGUAGCAGGUACAGACGAAGAUGUAGACAGUGUAGCAGAUGAAGACGGUGUAGCAGAUGAAGACGAAGACGAAGAUGAAGACGAAGAUGAAGACGAUGUAGAAAACGAAGGGUCAGAUCCUAACCUUGGACUAAGGGGGAAAAGAAAAAAAAAAGAUUUUACCAAGGAUGAAGCAAACAUCUCAAAAGGUCAAUUUAAUAAGCAAUUUAACAUUAGUGGUCAUUUUGAUUACCAGGUACUGGAGAGACUAAAUUCAUGUUCAGGCUGCCAACCCAAAUCAACUCAAUUUACAUGUUGCUUUCUUUUCCUUAGGGAAAAAAAAAAAGAUGACAUUGAUCCAGGAAGAGGCCAAGAGUUCGAAAGAAAAACAAAUCGGUUGGAAACCAAGGGUGAGGUCACCAGCUCCAAAGGUAGGACUCCACCCAUUCAUCCCUUUAUUUUUAAGCAGCUUAUC